GCAGGUCUUAACUUUCAGGUCUGGUGAGCAAUUAACACUGAUACAGCAAUUUUCAACAGGAAACCUAAAGUAAAGUAAGUGGUGGCAGAGCUCUGACCCUCAGCUGCAACAAAUGAACUAACUCCAGCCUUCAGAGAGAGAACGACUUAUUUUCAGCCUGGACUCUCUUCACUCUACCAGCAAGCCUGAAGCUCAUCUGUACAACCACGUGGCAACUGGUGUUGGGGUUCUUGCUUGAGGCUCUUCUACUGCUGAUCAUCUCUCUCUCAGUUUAAGACCAAGAAUGUUGGCUUACCACAUCCACAAGCUAAACAUGUUCUCACCUAGCCUCGUUUCGCCUGAGGUGCAGGAGGAGAGGGUCAUCUCAGGAGAAAGACAACAAAAAGAAAAGAAAGAAAGAGAGAUGGACUCCAGAAGCCUGAAGCUCUGGAGCUGCAGUUGGAGGCAGAAAGCGCUCCCUGGCUAACUAAAGGAAGAUGGAGUGCAUGGCACUACUGUACAUCCCCACAGCCAGUAAAGGAAGAGGUGAUGGAGAGAGAGAAGUAGAGGAAGGGCAAGAGGUUAGAUGCUUCAACCCUGGGUGAAGUGUAAACUGGACUGGGGAAAAUUUCGUUCCAUCUCUAGAUGUAAAAUGAUAAUAAAAUCUCCUUGAAUCCUUGAAUCAUACAGGAGCUUUCCUGUACAGGGGUCGUUUGGGUACUGUAAAUUAUGCACAUGAAAGAGGAUGUAUUGCCCCAUGGUCUUGCUUUAUUGUUACUGGAUCAGUAAGUAGACAACAGACUUAAGUCCAUACAGAACAACAAUGACGGAUAUUUUAGAUUUGUAGUCUAAUCUGUAAUUAUAGUCUGCUCACAAAAUGUUUAAUAUAUACAUCAUCCAAAAACAACUCUUCUGCAGAGUUGAAUGCACAAUUUCUCUUUGUUUGUUUGUUUGUAUAACAAUAUAUAAUACUACAGAUACAAUGACACACA